AUCUAGACCGCAUUUCCUACGUCCCAAACAUGCCGAACAUUCCAAGCGCUUUUUAAGUGUCUUGCUAUGCUGCCUAGGUAGAGGCUGCGCAAUAGAUUUAGCGGCAGGCCGCGCGAGUGACUUCCGGUGAGUGUUGCGUGGCUGUAAAGAAGCUCUGAUUGAGUUCAGCUUUUGCGGCACCGAACAGACGCUCGUCUCACUGCCGCAGAACCAAAUGAACGAACGCCCUCAUUUCCCUUACCUCCAGACAUGACAGCACUGAAAUGAUGCAGUAUUUAGACAUCCCAUCCUCACAAAACAUGGACGCCAUUAAGAGGAGAAUAUUAAAGGAGUGAAUAAUUGUUACCGACAGCACUAUUUUACACUGAACUGGAUCGUUAGAUUAGCUGGCUAGCAGAUAGAUUUUCAGUCUCUGCUGGGUGGUGUUGCCCGAGGCCGGACCCCAGCGAUGGGAAUCAUUUUCACAAAAUUAUGGAGGCUUUUUAACCACCAAGAGCACAAAGUCAUUAUUGUUGGGCUGGACAAUGCAGGAAAGACCACCAUACUUUAUCAGUUCUCUAUGAAUGAG